GACGUAGGAGGCGAGCGUUAUCCGGAUUUACUGGGCGUAAAGCGUGUGCAGGCGGUUUGGUUAGUUGGAUGUGAAAGCUCCUGGCUUAACUGGGAGAGGUCGUUCAAUACUGCCAGACUUGAGGAUGGGAGAGGAAGGUGGAAUUCCGAGUGUAGUGGUGAAAUGCGUAGAUAUUCGGAGGAACACCAGUGGCGAAAGCGGCCUUCUGGCCCAUCUCUGACGCUCAUACACGAAAGCUAGGGGAGCAAACGGG
rnacentral:rRNA from 1 species